rnacentral:rRNA from 1 species
ACGCACGCUGGCGGCGUGCUUCACCCCUGCAAGUCGCACGGAAAGGCCCUGCUUUUGUGGGGUGCUCGAGUGGCGAACGGGUGAGUAGCACGUGAGUAACCUGCCCUUGACUUUGGGAUAACUUCAGGAAACUGGGGCUAAUACCGGAUAGGAGCUCCUGCUGCAUGGUGGGGGUUGGAAAGUUUCGGCGGUUGGGGAUGGACUCGCGGCUUAUCAGCUUGUUGGUGGGGUAGUGGCUUACCAAGGCUUUGACGGGUAGCCGGCCUGAGAGGGUGACCGGCCACAUUGGGACUGAGAUACGGCCCAGACUCCUACGGGAGGCAGCAGUGGGGAAUAUUGCACAAUGGGCGGAAGCCUGAUGCAGCAACGCCGCGUGCGGGAUGACGGCCUUCGGGUUGUAAACCGCUUUCGCCUGUGACGAAGCGUGAGUGACGGUAAUGGGUAAAGAAGCACCGGCUAACUACGUG